CGUCUCACAAGUUCUAAAUAAAUCAUAAUUUUUUUGGUAUUCUCGUACGUGUGAUGCCUUUUUGCUAAAUGAAGACAGCUAGAGCAUGGCGUGGAAGCUUAAAAGAUAUAUAAUGAUGUCUGGUGUUCGACAACGACGAAAUUUUAAAGGGCCAAACUGGGUUAUUAUAUUAGUGUGCUUAGUCAGCAUAUUUUUAGUUGGAUUAUAUAUCUACCAGCCCAGGAAUACUGCUGCCUGCUAUAUCUUUCUGUCCCGUGGCUGUUCCGAUCUUGAAAACACUCCAGCAGUUCCUUCCAGAGAAUUAACAGAUGAAGAAAACACAGCUCGGGUGGUCAUCACGGAAAUUUUGAAAUCAUCUCCUGCUGCUCCAAAGAACGCGAAAGUCGCUUUCAUGUUUUUGACUCCUGGCCCAUUACCGUUUAAAAUGCUAUGGGACAAGUUCUUUCAAGUAAAAGAACCUGUUUUGAUCCAAACAGACCUAACCCGUCAUAAGACCCACACGUAUUUCAUUUUUCACACAAAGGUAUUUCGGGUGCUUUUAUUCGCCUGAGUAAACUGGUGACAAUGAACGGGCGUCAGGUGCUUCUAUUCGCCUCAUAACUGAUUAACUGACCAUGUGAGAUAAAAGAAGACGCCUUUGUUUGGAUUAAGUAUAGAUCGAGUAAAGCUUCCCUUGAGUGGGAUAACUGGGUUUCGUUUAAUGUUGGGGCUCUGUUGUAAUUUGCUUUUCCUCCUUGUAUUCCAACCAGUGGCUGGUUGCUUUAUAUUUAUAUAUAAAGUUUGUUGCAGUUCAAAAAAAUAUAUAUAUAACAUUCUUCUGUUGUUUUGAGACCGAAACACAAUUAAUAAGAUUUUUUUUAAAUGACAGAUGCAGACAUGGGAUACUAUUGCUGGAGGCGAUUCAGAGAACCAGGUAACAAAAUUUCUGCAUAAGCGAGCACAACCCCAGCGAGCCCAACGCAACGGCGCAGUGAGCGCAGCCGCAUCGACGUCUAAUAUCAAUUUCUAUUGGUUCAAUUUAGUAUCUCAAUGAGACUACCAGAAUGCCCAGGUCAAUGAAAGAUCUUUUAAUGCCAUCAAGUGAUAUAAGAGAGUUUUGUAUAUGUAAUGCCCAAACGAGUUGAAUUGGUCAUUGUUGCGAGAGAAGCUACCUUGGGCUUGUUCAAAGAUUGUAAAGGAAUAACGGAACAGGGUUCUGCUGAGCGUGACAAGCAUCAAAUGAUGCAGCUGGGCUUCAAUCAGCUACAGCAUGGGCUCAAAUGUUGUCUCAAUAGGCGAUUUUCAGCUUCAACAUCAACUAUAGCUUAUGCAACCUACAAAUCCCAGUUUGACAACUUAGCAUAAUCUCCAAGAUUGCAGUCUACAUGGGCCGGUAGCAUAUCACAAACAUCAGGCCCUUUGGUGAUCUAACUGCAAAACAAUGGAUUCGCUUCCUAUUGCUUCGGUUGCUCGAGUCAUGCUUCCAAGUGGAGGUCCUGUGAAAUGUAAUUGGACAGGGCACAUAUGCAUAUGAUACUGAACUAAUGUUAUUUCUCCCUUUCUUUUAUUGUGGUAAAGUUUUUAUGACAUUUUAUUUUCUAUAUGUACAUACUAUGCAACGGUUUUUGGGACUUGUAUUUAUCAUCGUCUUUUUUCUU